AGAGGCUCAUGGGAAGGCCGGGAUCAGCGCUCGACUGCACAUUCGCGCCGUCUCGGGUCGGGUGGGUUCUUUGAGCGAGUGGUCCCAUUGCGCAUGCGCUCCUCAAGGGAAGCGGAAUUAACCCGGAGGUGGGAUCCCAGAACUGGAAGGACUUAGAGCCCAUUAAGUCAGUGUCUUCGUGGCUUUAAGUUCCUCCCCGGCCUCCCUGCGCUUGCACUUCACCGGCAACGGGGUGUUCACUACCUCACGGUCUUUCCGUAGACACCUCCCUCCUACAAUGGGCGCUCGCUUAGUGGACUCCUAGGGUCGUGGCUCCAACGGGUGUUGUUUUCCCGAGAUCUCCAAUUCCACAGCCCAGCUUCAGACCCGCUAUAACCAGUAUCGUCAGGGAACGCUUCCUUCCCACGUUCCCUGUUUUGUUUUGUUUUGUUUUUUCCCUUGAGAUAGGAUCUCACUCUGUUGCUCAGGCUGGAGUGCAGUGGCGUGAUCACAGCGCACUGCAGCCUCGACCUCCUGGGCUCAAGUGAUCCUCCCACCUCAGCCUUCCCAGUAGCUGGGACUACGAGAGUACGCUACCACGCCCCUUUAAUUUUUGUAUUUUUUUGUAGAUGGUUGGUGGGGAGCGGGGGUAGGGGGUGGGGUCACUAUGUUGGCCAGGCUGGUCUCGAACUCCUGAGCUCAGGCUAUACACCCGCCUUGGCCUCCCAAAGUGCUGAGAUUACAGGCAUGCGCCACUGCGCCUGGCCCUGGAUUGGAUUUUUAAAACCUGGCCCCGUGAACUGUUAAGAUUGUUUAGGAGCUCCACAUGGGCGUCAGUGUAUCCCUGGAACCCCUGAAAUUGAAUGCAAAAUGUGGCACAUCUGUGUGUAUGAGUUUUUUUCUUGAGGAGACCAGCCCUAACUUAAAACUAUUGGGACUUAAAACCCCAGUGCAGGCCGGGCGCGGUGGCUCACGCCUGUAAUCCCAGCACUUUGGGAGGCCAAGGCAGGCGAAUCACGAGGUCAAGAGAUCGAGACCAUCCUGGCCUACAUGGUAAAACCCCGUCUCUACUAAAAAUACAAAAAUUAGCUGGGUGUGGUGGCGCACACCUGUAGUCCCAGCUACUCAGGAGGCUGAGGCAGGAGAAUCGCUUGAACCUGGGAGGCAGAGGUUGCAGUGAGUUGAGAUCACACCAUUGCACUCCGGCCUGGUGACAGAGCGAGACUCUGUCUUAAAAAAAAAAAAAAAAAGCGCAGUGCACACAAUCCCAAUCUCUCCUGAAACCCCUCCCCUCACCCAGUGGUUGCUCAGUCUGUGGCUCCCUGUGUGGCACAACUCAGCAUGUGUUAGGCUAUGUUGUAUGCGCCCCUUUAAGGAUCCACCCCCUCUCCCACUCACUGGGCGUCCUCAGAGGCAGGAGUCAUUUCAUCUUAUUCAUGCUUGAAUUUAUAGGACCCAACAUAUACAUUGGAGAUGGGGUGGAGAAGUCACAGCUCUUGCUCUUUGAGAUGUCCCCACUCCUCAGGAGCAGAGAAGGGGCUGUGUGUACUGGGUGGGGGGAACCAAAAGAGCCAAAGCUCCUGGUGGGGAGGGGGUGCGGGGACAGAGCUAAGCCUGCUGCCCACCCACCUGCCACCUCCAACUUCCAACCCGUAGCUUCCACCACCCCCACCACCAGAAAUCUCAUACUGUGUUUGCCAUAAAGCCUUUAAUUUUAUCUCAGGGACUGCACUCCGGGUCCAGGCUGGGGUUGUAGUGCCUGUCAGGCUGGCUGCCGGUGGGUUCUGUCCUUGGGGGCCUCUGAGGAGAGUGCUCCAUUCUCACCCCCAUUGACCUGUGGCUCCUUCAAGACACAGAUAGAGGCCCCUGACUCUGCAGCUCCCACCCCCAUGCCCAAGGAAACCACUGACAAUGUGGCUUCAAACCCUGCUUCAGUGCCGGCUUGCUGUGUGAUCCUGGGCAAAGUGACUCUUCUCGAGUCUCACUUUCCUUAUUGUCAAGUGGGCUUCAUAAUCGCUGCUCUGUACCAGGUUAUUCUAAGGCAUGGGGUGACCAGCGUGGUGGUGCCAGCCCCUAAUGAGGGACUUGGUGUGUGGCCGCUCAGAUGGUUGCAGAGUCCCAGACUGGUUCUGCUGCUUGUUCGCUCCUGCGUCCUUAAAGAAGGCCCUUCCCCUCAGGUCCUUAGUUUCCUCAUUGAGAAGUAGGAAUGACAACCCUGGCCUUGCCUUCCUCUGGGCUCUCUGCCUGUCCUGGGGGAGGCCCUCCAGAGCCCAGAGUGCUGGUGUGGGCGCCCCUUCCCGCAGCAGCAUGGCAGAGUCAGUUCUUGACCUGACGGGGAGACUCACCUGGGUUUCCUGGGGGUGCCCUCUCUGUCCACCUUUCCUGCCUCAGACAGCAGCUGCUCCUCAUCCAGCCCCAGUGCUGACAGCACCUGGGAGAAGCGCCGAGUGACGGUGAGCCGGGCAUUGGCCUGAGGAGAGAGAAGACGGCUUCCUGCUCUGCACCAGGGCUGCCGAGGGCAAGGUGGGGAUCGGGUUACUGAGGGGGUCCCAGGGAUUCCAGAGGGCAGCAGCCCUGGGAUCCUAUCUGCAGGGACCUACUCGCAUCCUGCUUCCCUACCCACUCAGCCAGCUCUUCACAGGGGGCAGCUAUGUGCUUGCCCAGGUGCCAGCCUCACCUGCAUAGCCUGCUGGAACAGGAAGGGCCGGGCCUGCACCCUGUGCUGGAUGCCUUGCAGCUCCGCCUGGUACUCAGCAAAGCGCUGUCGCUCCUGGCGCCUGCAGGGGAGACAGGCCUUUGUGCAGCUAACCAUGGACACAACUGUUGAUCUCCAUUCCUGAGCCCGCUUAUCUUCACUAAGGACUUGAUAUUCAUGUCCUCACCCUCACCUUUACAAAGCUAUUUCAUUCCCAUUCUUGCCUGGAUUCCUUGUGAAGUCAGCCAAGGUGGAAAUUAUUCACCCAAUUUACGGAUGGAUCGGGAGGGUUGAGGGACUUGUUCAAAGUUGUGCAGCUGGGAAGUGAGGGGCCGAGCCCUGUGCAGCUGGGGCUUGCCCAUCCUCCUGUGCCAGCCCCAUGGGAAAGGGGCCAGUGCUGGCUUCUGAGCUUCCAGACACGUGCUUACAUAGCUU
rnacentral:lncRNA from 1 species